rnacentral:lncRNA from 1 species
GCAUCCGAAAGUAAAUUUGAAACUGGGCAGCGGGGGUCAUUUUAAAACAUUUAAUUGCUUUACAACAGUCUCUUUGGAAAAACUUGUUAUUGCUAGUACCAAAAAUAGUGACAAAAUAGUGGCCUGAUCAUGAAACAGUGGUGUGGCUGAAAUUAAGAAAAGGAUACUUAACAUGGCUCACAAUACAUGAGAUAAAUGCGUUGUUUUCCCCUGCAGCAGUAGAACUUCCUUUUCCCUGCUCCCGUUUUCCUUUUUCCCCUUUCCUCAAAUGUAUGAUUUUACUGUAGUCUAUCGUAAUUAUUAACUGAAAUAAAGAGCCAGCUGUAAAUACAUGAUUUUUCCUGUGCACUGCUCGUGAAGUUGAAUUUGACAUGCCAAAGGGUGGUGAUGGGAGGGGUCAUGAGUGAACAGAAAAAUAAAAUUUGGCAGAAGGAAAUAGAAACCUCUCUCGUGAAAACUUGGGUAUUCAUGAACAUUAUAAACCCCAUCAUCUUGACGAGCCCACUCACAGUGCCAAAAAUGGCAGCACGAGGAGAAAUGUAUCCAAGAGUAAGCAUCAGAUGUGAGGCUAUGUGAUGUCAUAGCAUCAUUAUGUCACUCAAUGCCAAUUGAUUUCUAGGGCUGAUUGCAAGCAAUCAUUAAUCACUUUGUAUUGAGCAGUAUGCCAGCUCCAUUGCAUCUGGGGCAAAUACAAGUGUCACCUAUUUAGCCAACAUCCUGCUCUCAGCACUUUCAUACUUCAUCUUUCUAGCAGUUUGGUUUAGUUUGAGAUGCAACAAGAGGGGUUAAUAAAGCACUCACAGGGAAGUGUUCUCCUCGACCGAAUGAGUGCUGUGCAUCUGAGAGCAAGCCACAGAGAGGGCUCAGUAAGAGGACAUAGCAGAUGGUACAUGUAUGAUGUUGUUGAAGCACAAAUACAGAGAGAAAACUGUACUUGUCUUAACUUGUGGAAUAAAAGCUUAAUUAGUAUGGUGAUAAAAUGAUAGAGGUUAAGCCCUAAAAUAAGCCCAUAAAUUCUCUUUUAUAAUUUUCUUCUUAUUUAAAUAAGUUUUCAGUGCCAAAUUUAGGAGGAGGGGGAAGAGGAAGCAGAGCUAGUUCCAUGCACCAGUUAUUCAGAUCUGUUUUUGUCCACAGUGAUUUUUCUGGCUGCUGUUCUUCUGCCAGAAAGAAAAUACUAUCUCUAACCUGAGUAACUCCAGUACCAUCUGUAUCU